rnacentral:rRNA from 1 species
GUNAGUAACGCGUAUGCAACCUGUCCGUUACAGGGGGAUAGCCCNUGGAAACGUGGAUUAACACUCCAUAAUAUAAUAUAGAGGCAUCUUUGUAUUAUUAAAUAUUUAUAGGUAACGGUUGGGCAUGCGUCCUAUUAGAUAGUUGGGGGGGUAACGGCCCACCAAGUCGAUGAUAGGUAGGGGUUCUGAGAGGAAGGUCCCCCACACUGGUACUGAGACACGGACCAGACUCCUACGGGAGGCAGCAGUGAGGAAUAUUGGUCAAUGGGCGAGAGCCUGAACCAGCCAAGUCGCGUGAGGGAUGACUGCCCUAUGGGUUGUAAACCUCUUUUGUAUGGGGGGAAUAAGCUUUACGAGUAGAGUGAUGACAGUACCAUACGAAUAAGCAUCGGCUAACUCCGUGCCAGCAGCCGCGGUAAUACGGAGGAUGCGAGCGUUAUCCGGAUUUAUUGGGUUUAAAGGGUGCGUAGGCGGCAUUAUAAGUUAGUGGUAAAAUAUUGGGGCUUCACCUCACUACGCCAUUAAUACUGUAGAGCUAGAGAACAGACGAGGUAGGCGGAAUAAGUUAAGUAGCGGUGAAAUGCAUAGAUAUAACUUAGAACACCGAUAGCGAAGGCAGCUUACCAGACUGAGUCUGACGCUGAUGCACGAGAGCAUGGGUAGCGAACAGGAUUAGAUACCCUGGUAGU